rnacentral:rRNA from 1 species
AUUGAACGCUGGCGGCAGGCCUAACACAUGCAAGUCGAGCGGUAACAGGAAAUAGCUUGCUAUUUUGCUGACGAGCGGCGGACGGGUGAGUAACGCGUAGGAAUUUGCCCAGUAGUGGGGGAUAGCCCGGAGAAAUUCGGAUUAAUACCGCAUACGCCCUAAGGGGGAAAGCAGGGGAUCUUCGGACCUUGCACUAUUGGAUGAGCCUAUGUCAGAUUAGCUUGUUGGUGGGGUAACGGCCUACCAAGGCGACGAUCUGUAGCUGGUCUGAGAGGACGAUCAGCCACACUGGGACUGAGACACGGCCCAGACUCCUACGGGAGGCAGCAGUGGGGAAUAUUGCACAAUGGGCGAAAGCCUGAUGCAGCAAUGCCGCGUGUGUGAAGAAGGCCUGCGGGUUGUAAAGCACUUUCAGUAGGGAGG